UAAAUACUCCCUCUGUCCCAAAAUAUAAGAACAUUUUUGACACUAUUGUAAUGUUAAAAAUGUUCUUAUAUUGUGGGACAGAGGGAGUAGUUU
rnacentral:pre_miRNA from 1 species